rnacentral:rRNA from 1 species
GUGGGGGGAGCUAUACAUGCAAGUAGAACGCUGAAGAGAGGAGCUUGCUCUUCUUGGAUGAGUUGCGAACGGGUGAGUAACGCGUAGGUAACCUGCCUUGUAGCGGGGGAUAACUAUUGGAAACGAUAGCUAAUACCGCAUAACAAUGGAUGACACAUGUCAUUUAUUUGAAAGGGGCAAUUGCUCCACUACAAGAUGGACCUGCGUUGUAUUAGCUAGUAGGUGAGGUAAUGGCUCACCUAGGCGACGAUACAUAGCCGACCUGAGAGGGUGAUCGGCCACACUGGGACUGAGACACGGCCCAGACUCCUACGGGAGGCAGCAGUAGGGAAUCUUCGGCAAUGGGGGCAACCCUGACCGAGCAACGCCGCGUGAGUGAAGAAGGUUUUCGGAUCGUAAAGCUCUGUUGUAAGUCAAGAACGGGUGUGAGAGUGGAAAGUUCACACUGUGACGGUAGCUUACCAGAAAGGGACGGCUAACUACGUGCCAGCAGCCGCGGUAAUACGUAGGUCCCGAGCGUUGUCCGGAUUUAUUGGGCGUAAAGCGAGCGCAGGCGGUUUGAUAAGUCUGAAGUUAAAGGCUGUGGCUCAACCAUAGUUCGCUUUGGAAACUGUCAAACUUGAGUGCAGAAGGGGAGAGUGGAAUUCCAUGUGUAGCGGUGAAAUGCGUAGAUAUAUGGAGGAACACCGGUGGCGAAAGCGGCUCUCUGGUCUGUAACUGACGCUGAGGCUCGAAAGCGUGGGGAGCGAACAGGAUUAGAUACCCUGGUAGUCCACGCCGUAAACGAUGAGUGCUAGGUGUUGGAUCCUUUCCGGGAUUCAGUGCCGCAGCUAACGCAUUAAGCACUCCGCCUGGGGAGUACGACCGCAAGGUUGAAACUCAAAGGAAUUGACGGGGGCCCGCACAAGCGGUGGAGCAUGUGGUUUAAUUCGAAGCAACGCGAAGAACCUUACCAGGUCUUGACAUCCCGAUGCUAUUUCUAGAGAUAGAAAGUUACUUCGGUACAUCGGUGACAGGUGGUGCAUGGUUGUCGUCAGCUCGUGUCGUGAGAUGUUGGGUUAAGUCCCGCAACGAGCGCAACCCCUAUUGUUAGUUGCCAUCAUUCAGUUGGGCACUCUAGCGAGACUGCCGGUAAUAAACCGGAGGAAGGUGGGGAUGACGUCAAAUCAUCAUGCCCCUUAUGACCUGGGCUACACACGUGCUACAAUGGUUGGUACAACGAGUUGCGAGUCGGUGACGGCGAGCUAAUCUCUUAAAGCCAAUCUCAGUUCGGAUUGUAGGCUGCAACUCGCCUACAUGAAGUCGGAAUCGCUAGUAAUCGCGGAUCAGCACGCCGCGGUGAAUACGUUCCCGGGCCUUGUACACACCGCCCGUCACACCACGAGAGUUUGUAACACCCGAAGUCGGUGAGGUAACCUUUGGAGCCAGCCGCUAAGGUGAACCAG